rnacentral:rRNA from 1 species
CAGCAGCCGCGGGAAUACCGAGGGUGCGAGCGUUAAUCGGAUUUACUGGGCGUAAAGCGUGCGUAGGCGGCUUCUUAAGUCGGAUGUGAAAUCCCUGAGCUUAACUUAGGAAUUGCAUUCGAUACUGGGAAGCUAGAGUAUGGGAGAGGAUGGUAGAAUUCCAGGUGUAGCGGUGAAAUGCGUAGAGAUCUGGAGGAAUACCGAUGGCGAAGGCAGCCAUCUGGCCUAAUACUGACGCUGAGGUACGAAAGCAUGGGGAGCAAACAGGAUUAGAUACCCCGUAGUCCCUGUCUCUUAUACA